rnacentral:rRNA from 1 species
ACUCCUACGGGAGGCAGCAGUGGGGAAUAUUGCACAAUGGGGAAACCCUGAUGCAGCCAUGCCGCGUGUGUGAAGAAGGCCUCGGUUGUAAAGCACUUCAGUAGGGAGGAAGGUAGUGUAGUUAACACCUGCACUAUUUGACGUUACCUACAGAAGAAGCACCGGCUAACUCCGUGCCAGCAGCCGCGGUAAUACGGAGGGGUGCGAGCGUUAAUCGGAAUUACUGGGCGUAAAGCGCAUGCAGGCGGCCUGUUAAGUCAGAUGUGAAAGCCCGGGGGCUUAACCUCGGAAUUGCAUUUGAAACUGGCAGGCUAGAGUCUUGUAGAGGGGGUAGAAUUUCAGGUGUAGCGGUGAAAUGCGUAGAGAUCUGAAGGAAUACCAGUGGCGAA